rnacentral:rRNA from 1 species
UACGGGGGGGGCAAGCGUUGUUCGGAAUUAUUGGGCGUAAAGCGCGUGUAGGCGGCUUUGCAAGUCGGGUGUGAAAGCCCUCAGCUUAACUGAGGAAGUGCGCCCGAAACUGCAUGGCUUGAGUGCCGGAGAGGAUGGCGGAAUUCCCGAAGUAGAGGUGAAAUUCGUAGAUAUCGGGAGGAACACCGGUGGCGAAGGCGGCCAUCUGGACGGUAACUGACGCUGAGACGCGAAAGCGUGGGUAGCAAACAGG